AUGCAAAAAAGCAAAAUGGCUUUCUGGGGAGGCCUUACAAAUAGCUGUGAAAGAAGAGAGGUGAAAAGCAAAGGAGAAAAGGAAAGAUAUAAGCAUCUGAAUGCAGAGUUCCAAAGAAUAGCAAGAAGAGAUAAGAAAGCCUUCUUCAGCGAUCAAUGCAAAGAAAUAGAGGAAAACAAGACUAGGAAGACUAGAAAUUUCUUUAAGAAAAUUAGAGAUACCAAGGGAACAUUUCAUGCAAAGAUGGGCUCAAUAAAGGACAGAAAUUGUAUGAACCUAACAGAAGUAGAAGAUAUUAAGAAGAGGUGGCAAGAAUACACAGAAGAACUGUACAAAAAAGAUCUUCACGACCCAGAUAAUCAUGAUGAUGUGAUCAGUAAUCUAGAGCAAGACAUCUUGGAAUGUGAAGUCAAGUGGGCCUUAGAAAGCAUCACUACGAACAAAGCUAGUGGAGGUGAUGGAAUUCCAGUGGAGCUAUUUCAAAUCCUGAAAGAUGAUACUGUGAAAGUGUUGCACUCAAUAUGCCAGGAAAUUUGGAAAACUCAUCAGUGGCCACAGGACUGGAAGAGGUCAGUUUUCAUUCCAAUCCCAAAGAAAGGCAAUGCCAAAGAAUGCUCAAACUACCGCACAAUUGCACUCACCUCACAUGCUAGUAAAGUAAUGCUCAAGAUUCUCCAAGGCAGGCUUCAGCAAUACGUGAACCAUGAACUCCCUGAUGUUCAAGAUGGUUUUAGAAAAGGCAGAGAAACCAGAGAUCAAAUUGCCAACAUCUGCUGGAUCUUUGAAAAAGCAAGAGAGUUCCAAAAAAACAUAUAUUUCUGCUUUACUGACUAUGCCAAAGCCUUUGACUGUGUGGAUCACAAUAAACUGCAGAAAUUUCUGAGAGAGAUGAGAAUACCAGACCACCUAAACUGCCUCUUGAGAAAUCUAUAUGCAGGUCAAGAAGCAACAGUUAGAACUGGACAUGGAACAACUGACUGGUUCCAAAUAGGAAAAGGAGUACGUCAAGGCUGUAUAUUGUCACCCUGCUUAUGUAACUUCUAUGCAGAGUACAUCAUGAGAAACGCUGGACUGGAAGAAACACAAGCUGGAAUCAAGAUUGCCGGGAGAAAUAUCAAUAACCUCAGAUAUGCAGAUGACACCACCCUUAUGGCAGAAAGUGAAGAGGAACUAAAAAGCCUCUUGAUGAAAUUGAAAGAGAAGAGUGAAAAAGUUGGCUUAAAGCUCAACAUUCAGAAAACGAAGAUCAUGGCAUCUGGUCCCAUCACUUCAUGGGAAAUAGAUGGGGGGACAGUGGAAACAGUUGCUGACUUUAUUUUGUUGGGUUCCAAAAUCACUACAGAUGGUGACUGCAGCCAUGAAAUUAAAAAAUGCUUACUCCUUGGAAUAAAAGUUAUGACUAACCUAGAUAGUAUAUUUAAAUGCAGAGACAUUACUUUGCCGACUAAGGUUCAUCUGGUCAAGGCUAUGGUUUCUCCUGUGGUCAUGUAUGGAUGUGAGAGUUGGACUGUGAAGAAGGCUGAACGCUGA
rnacentral:lncRNA from 1 species